UGUUGAGAUAAGAUGCUGAAUUUAGAUACAACUGUCUAUUUUCUUGUACAAAAAAUGCCAUUCCCCCGAAUUUAAGGAAGGAGAGCAGAUUCUUUUUGUACCUUAUCUCAUUCUCUCAUAAGGCUCUCAUACAUUCUAUAUAAGAGAGAAAUUUCUUUGCAGAAAUACACGGACAAAACCUCUGCAUUUUUAGAAUUUCCUCUUCAUUUUCUACACUAAUUUUUACACAAAAAUUCUCUGCAUUUUUUUCCUUGCUCUCAAAAGAAAACACUCGCAAGGAUGCAAUUUAGAGAUAGAAAAAAAGGGGAGUAAAGAAAAUUCAAAGCUGUUUGGUUCCAGAUUUUGGUUUAUCUUUGCUGAUUCUGGUUGUCGCUGCCUUUACUUUGUUGCUUCUCAGUUUGCUGGUUUUCUUCAUUCCCUCUUAUCCUUUAUUUGGCUUUAAGCUGAUUCAUCUGCUGUUUAGAAUGGCCCAACAAGUUUAUGAAGGAUAGCCCAAUGGCUAUAUCUUUGUAAAUUUGGAAGUGGUUGGAAGAGAGGAAGAAGUGGAAGUCACCAAAUUGAAAGCAUAGAAUCAGACUGGGUCUUGUUUUUUGUAUAAUGAAGGGCUGCUUUGGUCGAGUUUGAACGUCAUUAUGCUACCAUAAGUUGUAUGCAGUUUGAUUCAGUCAAAUGUAUUUUUUAGAAUACACGUCCAUGUUUAGCUUAAUCCAUAGUUAACUUAUUUCCUUACAAUGAUAUGUUUUAAGAUCCUAAGCUUCAAAACUCAUUGUUACUGAACGUUGUAAUAUGAAUUGUUUCAUUACCAUU